GAUGAAUGCUGGCGGCGUGCUUAACACAUGCAAGUCGAGCGGUAACAGGAGUAGUUUACUACUUGCUGACGAGCGGCGGACGGCUGAGUAACGCGUGGGAACAUGCCCCAAAGUGAGGAAUAACUGCCCGAAAGGGUAGCUAAUGCCGCAUAUGAUCUUCGGAUUAAAGGAUUUAUCCGCUUUGGGAGUGGCCUGCGUAUGAUUAGGUAGUUGGUGAGGUAAUGGCUCACCAAGCCGACGAUCAUUAGCUGGUCUGAGAGGAUGACCAGCCAGACUGGAACUGAGACACGGUCCAGACUCCUACGGGAGGCAGCAGUGAGGAAUAUUCCACAAUGGGCGAAAGCCUGAUGGAGCAACGCCGCGUGAAGGAUGAAGGCCCUCGGGUUGUAAACUUCUUUUAUAAGUGAAGAAUAUGACGGUAACUUAUGAAUAAGCACCGGCUAACUACGUGUCAGCCGCCGCAGUA
rnacentral:rRNA from 1 species